GCCACGUGUGGUGACGCACUCCUGUAAUCCCAGCAGCUUGGGAGGCUGAGGCAGGAGGAUACUGAGUUCAAAGCCAGCCUCAU
rnacentral:sRNA from 1 species